AUUGAACGCUGGCGGCAGGCCUAACACAUGCAAGUCGAGCGAGCGGCGGACGGGUGAACAAUGUAUGGGGAUCUGCCCAAUAGAGGGGGCUAACUACUGGAAACGGUGGCUACUCCCGCCUACUAUCGGAUGGACCCAUAUGGGAUUAGCUAGUCGGUGGGGUAAAGGCUCACCUAGGCGACGAUCCCUAGCUGGGCUGAGAGGAUGAUCAGCCACACUGGGACUGAGACACGGCCCAGACUCCUACGGGAGGCAGCAGUGGGGAAUAUUGCACAAUGGGCGCAAGCCUGAUGGAGCCAUGCCGCGUGUAUGAAGAAGGCCGUAGGGUUGUAAAGUACUUUCAGCGGGGAGGCGUUACCCGCAGAAGAAGCACCGGCUAACUCCGUGCCAGCAGCCGCGGUAAUUC
rnacentral:rRNA from 1 species